rnacentral:misc_RNA from 1 species
GUUCCACAAGAAAAUAACUAAGGCUGUAAUUGACCAAGUGUUUGCAGAGAUAGAACUCAGUAACUUGCAGUAGUAUUUUGUACAUCGCUUUAUCAGGGUGAAAAAUUCAAGCACCCUUGUUGCUAUUCCAUGGCUUGAGCACGCCAACAACUAUGACUGCAACGAUUAUCAGAAGAAUGAUGAUGGCAAUGCACAUCCAUUUUCUUGAAUUCCUUUGUAAACUCUUUGCCUUUUGUAGAGCAGUAUUCCCUGAUUGCACAUGGUCAACUGCAGCUGAAACCUG